UUACAAAGUCAUGGUCUAGUAGU
rnacentral:miRNA from 1 species